GAUGAACGCUGGCGGCGUGCUUAACACAUGCAAGUCGAACGAUUGAAGCUGGAGCUUGCUCUGGCCGAUUUAGUGGCGGACGGGUGAGUAACGCGUGGGUAACCUGCCUCAUACAGGGGGAUAGCAGUUGGAAACGACUGGUAAAACCGCAUAAGCGCACGGUAUCGCAUGAUACAGUGUGAAAACACUCCGGUGGUAUGAGAUGGACCCGCGUCUGAUUAGCUAGUUGGUGAGGUAACGGCCCACCAAGGCGACGAUCAGUAGCCGGCCUGAGAGGGUGAACGGCCACAUUGGGACUGAGACACGGCCCAAACUCCUACGGGAGGCAGCAGUGGGGAAUAUUGCACAAUGGGGGAAACCCUGAUGCAGCGACGCCGCGUGAGUGAAGAAGUAUUUCGGUAUGUAAAGCUCUAUCAGCAGGGAAGAUAAUGACGG
rnacentral:rRNA from 1 species